CAGCAGCCGCGGGAAUACGGAGGGUGCAAGCGUUAAUCGGAAUUACUGGGCGUAAAGCGCACGCAGGCGGUCUGACAAGUCAGAUGUGAAAUCCCCGGGCUUAACCUGGGAACUGCAUUUGAAACUGUCAGGCUGGAGUCUUGUAGAGGGGGGUAGAAUUCCAGGUGUAGCGGUGAAAUGCGUAGAGAUCUGGAGGAAUACCGAUGGCGAAGGCAGCCAUCUGGCCUAAUACUGACGCUGAGGUACGAAAGCAUGGGGAGCAAACAGGAUUAGAUACCCCAGUAGUCCCUGUCUCUUAUAA
rnacentral:rRNA from 1 species